GACGAACGCUGGCGGCGUGCUUAACACAUGCAAGUCGAACGGAAAGGCCCUGCUUGCAGGGUACUCGAGUGGCGAACGGGUGAGUAACACGUGGGUGAUCUGCCCUGCACUUCGGGAUAAGCCUGGGAAACUGGGUCUAAUACCGGAUAGGAGCCAUUUUUAGUGUGAUGGUUGGAAAGUUUUUUCGGUGUAGGAUGAGCUCGCGGCCUAUCAGCUUGUUGGUGGGGUAAUGGCCUACCAAGGCGGCGACGGGUAGCCGGCCUGAGAGGGUGGACGGCCACAUUGGGGCUGGGAUACGGCCCAGACUCCUACGGGAGGCAGCAGGGGGGAAUAUUGCACAAUGGGCGCAAGCCUGAUGCAGCGACGCCGCGUGGGGGAUGACGGCCUUCGGGUUGUAAACUCCUUUCGCUAGGGACGAAGCUUUUUGUGACGGUACCUAGAUAAGAAGCACCGGCUAACUACGUG
rnacentral:rRNA from 1 species